UACGUAGGGUGCAAGCGUUAAUCGGAAUUACUGGGCGUAAAGCGUGCGCAGGCGGUUGUGCAAGACCGAUGUGAAAUCCCCGGGCUCAACCUGGGAAUUGCAUUUGUGACUGCACGGCUAGAGUGUGUCAGAGGGGGGUAGAAUUCCACGUGUAGCAGUGAAAUGCGUAGAGAUGUGGAGGAAUACCGAUGGCGAAGGCAGCCCCCUGGGAUAACACUGACGCUCAUGCACGAAAGCGUGGGGAGCAAACAGG
rnacentral:rRNA from 1 species